rnacentral:rRNA from 1 species
AGUGAACGCUGGCGGUAGGCCUAACACAUGCAAGUCGAACGGCAGCACAGUAAGAGCUUGCUCUUACGGGUGGCGAGUGGCGGACGGGUGAGGAAUACAUCGGAAUCUACUUUUUCGUGGGGGAUAACGUAGGGAAACUUACGCUAAUACCGCAUACGACCUACGGGUGAAAGCAGGGGAUCUUCGGACCUUGCGCGAUUGAAUGAGCCGAUGUCGGAUUAGCUAGUUGGUGGGGUAAAGGCCCACCAAGGCGACGAUCCGUAGCUGGUCUGAGAGGAUGAUCAGCCACACUGGAACUGAGACACGGUCCAGACUCCUACGGGAGGCAGCAGUGGGGAAUAUUGGACAAUGGGCGCAAGCCUGAUCCAGCCAUACCGCGUGGGUGAAGAAGGCCUUCGGGUUGUAAAGCCCUUUUGUUGGGAAAGAAAAGCGGCAGGUUAAUACCCCGCUGUUCUGACGGUACCCAAAGAAUAAGCACCGGCUAACUUCGUG